rnacentral:rRNA from 1 species
UCAGGAUGAACGCUGGCGGCGUGCCUAAUACAUGCAAGUCGAGCGAACAGACGAGGAGCUUGCUCCUUUGACGCUUAGCGGCGACGGGUGAGUAACACGUGGGUAACCUACCUAUAAGACUGGGAUAACUUCGGGAAACCGGAGCUAAUACCGGAUAAUAUUUCGAACCGCAUGGUUCGAUAGUGAAAGAUGGCUUUGCUAUCACUUAUAGAUGGACCUGCGCCGUAUUAGCUAGUUGGUAAGGUAACGGCUUACCAAGGCAACGAUACGUAGCCGACCUGAGAGGGUGAUCGGCCACACUGGAACUGAGACACGGUCCA